AUCGUAAAGCUCUGUUGCCAGGGAAGAACGCCUAGGAGAGUAACUGCUCCUAGGGUGACGGUACCUGAGAAGAAAGCCCCGGCUAACUACGUGCCAGCAGCCGCGGUAAUACGUAGGGGGCGAGCGUUGUCCGGAAUUAUUGGGCGUAAAGCGCGCGCAGGCGGCAAUGUAAGUUGGGUGUUUAAACCUAGGGCUCAACCUUGGGUCGCAUCCAAAACUGCAUAGCUUGAGUACAGAAGAGGAAAGUGGAAUUCCACGUGUAGCGGUGAAAUGCGUAGAGAUGUGGAGGAACACCAGUGGCGAAGGCGACUUUCUGGGCUGUAACUGACGCUGAGGCGCGAAAGCGUGG
rnacentral:rRNA from 1 species